GGCUGGAGAAGGAGGUAGAGCACUAUCUGUGUGAGCAGUGCGACCCUCGGCUCGUGGAUCGGGUAUGUCUAACCCCCCGCAGAGAGUU